rnacentral:rRNA from 1 species
CGACCGGCGCACGGGUGAGUAACACGUAUCCAACCUGCCGAUGACUCGGGGAUAGCCUUUCGAAAGAAAGAUUAAUACCCGAUGGCAUAGUUCUUCCGCAUGGUAGAACUAUUAAAGAAUUUCGGUCAUCGAUGGGGAUGCGUUCCAUUAGCUUGUUGGCGGGGUAACGGCCCACCAAGGCAUCGAUGGAUAGGGGUUCUGAGAGGAAGGUCCCCCACAUUGGAACUGAGACACGGCCCAAACUCCUACGGAAGGCAGCAG